rnacentral:rRNA from 1 species
AUUGUAGUCUGCAACCCGACUACAUGAAGCUGGAAUCGCUAGUAAUCGCGAAUCAGCAUGUCGCGGUGAAUACGUUCCCGGGUCUUGUACACACCGCCCGUCACACCAUGGGAGUUGGUAACGCCCGAAGUCAGUGACCUAACCGCAAGGGAGGAGCUGCCGAAGGUGGGGCCAGUAACUGGGGGUGAAGUCGUAACAAGGUAAC